rnacentral:rRNA from 1 species
UACGUAGGGGGCAAGCGUUGUCCGGAUUUAUUGGGCGUAAAGAGCGUGUAGGCGGCCAGGUAGGUCCGUUGUGAAAACUCGAGGCUUAACCUCGAGACGUCGGCGGAAACCCUCUGGCUAGAGUCCGGAAGAGGAGAGUGGAAUUCCUGGUGUAGCGGUGAAAUGCGCAGAUAUCAGGAAGAACACCCGUGGCGAAGGCGGCUCUCUGGGACGGUACUGACGCUGAGACGCGAAAGCGUGGGGAGCAAACAG